rnacentral:pre_miRNA from 1 species
GGGCACCAUUUUGAAAUCACGUUAUUGCGAAAUAAAACUCCCCAUGUAGCAGUGUUAUUUCGAGAGAAAACCCUUGUCUCGAAAUAACUGUUAUUGUAUGAGGAAUAACAGUUAUUUUGAGAGAAAGGUUUUCUCUCGAAAUAACGCUGCUACCUGGGGCGUUUUAUUUCACAAUAACGCGAUUUCAAAAUGGCGCCC